rnacentral:rRNA from 1 species
GGACCCGCACAAGCGGUGGAGUAUGUGGUUUAAUUCGAUGCAACACGAAGAACCUUACCAGGGUUUGAAAUCAUUUCAAAACUCCUUGAAAGAGGAGCCUCCUUCGGGAUGAAAUGACAGGUGGUGCAUGGCUGUCGUCAGCUCGUGUUGUGAAAUGUCGAGUUAAGUCUCGUAACGAGCGCAACCCAUGUCUCUUGUUGCUCACUGAGUGCUUAAGAGAGACUGCCGACCAACAUCGGAGGAAGGUGUGGAUGAUGUCAAGUCAGCAUGCCCCUUACAUCCUGGGCUACACACGUACUACAAUGGUAGGGACAAUGAGCUGCGAUCCUGCGAAGGCUAGCCAAUCUCAAAAACCCUAUCUCAGUUCGGAUUGUACUCUGCAACUCGAGUACAUGAAGGUGGAAUCGCUAGUAAUCGCUGGU